CUAGGCUGUCCUGUCGAGAAUAUCUUUAGCUACUUUUCUGAGGAACCUGUGGCCGCUGCUUCAUUUGGCCAGGUUUAUAAAGGCUGUACACUUGAUGGCUGCAUAGUGGCUGUAAAAGUUCAGCGUCCAAACUUGCUUCAUGAUGUCAUGCGAGAUAUCUAUAUUCUCCGCCUUGGGCUGGACGUUUUGAGGAGAGCAGCUAAGCGGAAGAGUGAUCUUUGCCUCUAUGCUGAUGAACUUGGCAAAG
rnacentral:misc_RNA from 1 species